rnacentral:rRNA from 1 species
UCUAACUGCAGUCGACGGACUUCUCAUGAAGCUUGCGAUUGAGAAGUUAGUGGCGGACGGGUGAGUAACGCGUGGGCAACCUGCCCCUGAGCCCGGGAUAACAGUUCGAAAGGACUGCUAAGACCGGAUAUUCUUGCGGAGAGGCAUUUUUCUGCAAGGAAAGGAAACGCUCAAGGAUGGGCCCGCGUCCCAUUAGCUAGUUGGUGAGGUAACGGCCCACCAAGGCGACGAUGGGUAGCCGGCCUGAGAGGGUGAACGGCCACACUGGGACUGAGACACGGCCCAGACUCCUACGGGAGGCAGCAGUUGGGAAUCUUCGGCAAUGGGCGCAAGCCUGACCGAGCAACGCCGCGUGAGUGAUGAAGGUUUUCGGAUUGUAAAGCUCUGUCUUCCGGGACGAUAAUGACGGUACCGGAGGAGGAAGCCACGGCUAACUACGUGCCAGCAGCCGCGGUAAUACGUAGGUGGCGAGCGUUGUCCGGAAUUACUGGGCGUAAAGGGCGCGUAGGCGGCCUGUCAAGUCAGAUGUGAAAUCCCCGGGCUUAACCCGGGAACUGCAUUUGAAACUGACGGGCUUGAGGGCAGGAGAGGAAAGCGGAACUCCCAGUGUAGCGGUGAAAUGCGUAGAUAUUGGGAGGAACACCAGUGGCGAAGGCGGCUUUCUGGACUGUAACUGACGCUGAGGCGCGAAAGCCAGGGGAGCGAACGGGAUUAGAUACCCCGGUAGUCCUGGCUGUAA